UCUACGGGUGGCAGCAGUGGGGAAUAUUGGACAAUGGGCGAAAGCCUGAUCCAGCCAUGCCGCGUGUGUGAAGAAGGCCUUCGGGUUGUAAAGCACUUUCAGUGGGGAAGAAAGCCUUGGGGCUAAUACCCUCGAGGAAGGACAUCACCCACAGAAGAAGCACCGGCUAACUCCGUGCCAGCAGCCGCGGUAAUACGGAGGGUGCGAGCGUUAAUCGGAAUUACUGGGCGUAAAGCGCGCGUAGGCGGUCUGAUAAGCCGGUUGUGAAAGCCCCGGGCUCAACCUGGGAACGGCAUCCGGAACUGUCAGGCUAGAGUGCAGGAGAGGAAGGUAGAAGUCCCGGUGUAGCGGUGAAAUGCGUAGAGAUCGGGAGGAAUACCAGUGGCGAAGGCGGCCUUCUGGACUGACACUGACGCUGAGGUGCGAAAGCGUGGGUAGCAAACAGGAUUAGAUACCCGUGUAGUC
rnacentral:rRNA from 1 species